CCUUGCUUUUAACCUCCGAGCCUCUUCCGUGUCACCACCGGUUUCGCUCUAGAAUGUCAGGGAUAAAGAGGCUCCAUUGGAUGUUUGUCGGCGCCGGAGGAGCUCUGGGUCACCCACUGCCCGAUUCGCCUACUCUCGAUACCUCAGAACAGGUCUACAUCUCCUCACUUGCGUUGUUGAAGAUGCUUGAGCACGGUACACGUAUGUUUAGCUCUAAUCUGAAUCCCUAAUUAGGGUUUGGUUUUAUAAUUGCUUAGCUUUCGAAUUGAUGUAUGGACUUUAAAAACCUAUCUGAGUUGUUAGGGUUGUAGAUUGUUGCGAAAUUGUGCAUUUUAGAUCUCAAUUAGUGUUUGAUUCUUAUAGACUUGAAACUAAAUUUGAUUUGGUGUUUUACUUACCGGAUAAUCGGAAAAGCUAGGGUUCCCGGAGGUGAUGGGCUUGAUGCUGGGAGAGUUUGUGGAUGACUAUACUAGUUAAAGUUGUGGAUGUGUUUUCUAUACCACAGAGUGGCCGGAUGGAACUUGGGGAACUGUUAAAGGAAGUUGCACUGUAGUUAGAGACAUUGCAGACUUGUGUUACCAUUCGUAUCCACUCUACUUGAAGGAGUUGCGCGAAUCCCCUGCUUCAGAAGAAGUUCGUACUUUAAGGUAAUCGUAUUUAAAUUAGUACUCUGGUUAUACAUGCUGGAGAAAAUGAUUAGAGUUAGACUGUUAUGUAAUCUCAGAUAGGCUAAGUGGUUUUCUUAGGAGUUGUCUUGUAGGUUGAUUCAUAUACCAGCAUGUAUACUAGUUGCCAGUUGGUGUUUUGGGGCUAAUGGUGGCGAUUCCUCUUUACACUGUAAUUGUUGUUGUGAAAAGUCCAUAUAUGUUGUUUAAAGGUUGGUAUCGACUGAUCCACGAUAUGAUUAGUCGAGAAGGACCAUUUCUUGAAGUAGCUUGCAUCCCAAUUGUUGGUUUGAUAAUCCUUAUAUGGCCAAUUGUGGUUGUUGGAAGUAUCAUACUCACAGUUGUCUCCAGUAUUUUUGUGGGAUUAUAUGCAGCAGUUGUAGAUGACGGGAAACCAAUGCUUGCUAGAUUUGGUGCCUUUUUUCUAUGGUAAAUAUUAACAAUAUCAAUCACAUUUUGUGAAGUUAGGCCCCAUUAUCAAAAAAGAGCUGUUCUCUCAUUUAUCAUAGCUUUCUGUCUGAGGAAGGCGAGCAGCUGAAGGUAAGCUCAGAUUUGCUCUAAUGGAGGCACCUGCAAUGCAUAUGACAAGUUUGGUCAAUUCCAGAUCAGUUAGAGAAGCUAUACAUGAAGUAAAAAUGGUGCAAGUAUGCUUUUUAGUUCAUUGGUUUAGUUGCAAUGGUGUAUGCAUUUAAUUUCUAUCAAAAGAGCUAAUUUAUAACUAGUUAGGGAUGCAAUUUGGCUGUUGCACAUUGUUGUAAUUUGGCUUGCUCAUGUUAGGAGGUAUUUGAAGUUUGA